UGCCGGGUCGGAAUGAGGUACACCGCC
rnacentral:sRNA from 1 species